UUUAUUUUAUUUUGUUUAUUAUUUGGUAUUGCAUACCGACGAAAGAAAUUGACAAGAGGAAUUGUUUAAUAGAAUUAAAGAGUUUAAGGAGAAUUUGUUUUUAUUGUUGUAUGAUAAAUAUUAAUUUUUUUUUUGUUUUGAUAUGUCGAUCUUUAUUAUAUCUGUAUUUAUAGAGAGGAUUAGAAAGUUUUUUUGUUUAUAUGUGUUUGAAAUUGUAUGAUUUGGAGUUUUUAGUGUUGUUGUGUUGUGACUUUAUUUUGUUGGGUCUUGAUAUUAGUUUAUUUUUAGGCAUUGAGAUUUUAAUGUUUGUUGAAUUUUUGUUUUAGUAAGUAAAUUUUUAUUAUUUGUAUUUGUUUAAUUUAAUUAGGAGAACUAAAAUUGCGAUCAAAUGUUUUUUAAAGACUGAGAUUUCUAUAUGAAAUUGUCUUCUGCUCUAUGAGUUUAUUAAAUGGCCGCCUUAGCGUGAGGGCAUAAAAGUAGCAAAAUGAUUUGUGUUUUUAUUGAAUUCGGGUAUGAAAGGAGGAUUUGGUUGUUUUUGUUCUUUUUUUGUUCUGAAUUAUUUUUGUGUUUAAAAAUUAAUAUUUGUAUUCGAACAAAGAUAAGUCUUCGGAAAUUUUGUUAAUUGUUAUUUUUUGUUUAAAGUAAUAGUUUGGUUGUUUAGGGCAAAGUAGUAUGUAGUUUAGUUUUACUAUUUUUAAAGUAAAAAGUUACUCCGGAGUUAACAGAAAUUUACGUUUUUCCUAGAUGUUAUGGGAGAAAGGAUUUUACAUCGAUGUUGUAUUUUGACUGGGUAGAGAAGUAGUAAUUUUAUUUUUUGAGACUGUUCUUCUUUUAACAAGUCAAACGUGAUAUUAGUUUAAUUCAUUGUGAAAUAGAAUUGAUUAUCUUGUUGAUUAUUGAUGAUGAGAGCGGCUAGUACGAAAGGAACGUUGUUGGAAUUUUAAAUUUUUUGAUA
rnacentral:rRNA from 1 species